rnacentral:pre_miRNA from 1 species
GAUGUACUCCCUCCAUUCGAAAUUACUUGUCUGGGAAAUGAAUGUAUCUAGAACUAAAAUACAUCUAAAUACAUUCAUUUCUACGACAAGUAAUUCCGAACGGAGGGAGUACUCA